UACGAAGGGGGCUAGCGUUGCUCGGAAUCACUGGGCGUAAAGGGCGCGUAGGCGGCCAUUCAAGUCGGGGGGUGAAAUCCUGAGGCUCAACCUCAGAACUGCCUUCGAUACUGUUUAGCUUGAGUAUUGGAAGAGGUUGAUGGAACUGCGAGUGUAGAGGUGAAAUUCGUAGAUAUUCGCAAGAACACCAGUGGCGAAGGCGGUCAACUGGUCCAUUCUGACGCUGGAGUAUGCGAAACGU
rnacentral:rRNA from 1 species